rnacentral:rRNA from 1 species
UUAAGCGACUAAGCGUACACGGUGGAUGCCCUGGCAGUCAGAGGCGAUGAAGGACGUGCUAAUCUGCGAAAAGCGUCGGUAAGGUGAUAUGAACCGUUAUAACCGGCGAUGUCCGAAUGGGGAAACCCAGUGCAAUUCGUUGCACUAUCGUUAACUGAAUACAUAGGUUAACGAGGCGAACCGGGGGAACUGAAACAUCUAAGUACCCCGAGGAAAAGAAAUCAACCGAGAUUCCCCCAGUAGCGGCGAGCGAACGGGGAGCAGCCCAGAGUCUGAAUCAGCUUGUGUGUUAGUGGAACGGUCUGGAAAGUCCGACGGUACAGGGUGAUAGUCCCGUACACCAAAAUGCACAGGUUGUGAACUCGAAGAGUAGGGCGGGACACGUGGUAUCCUGUCUGAAUAUGGGGGGACCAUCCUCCAAGGCUAAAUACUCCUGACUGACCGAUAGUGAACCAGUACCGUGAGGGAAAGGCGAAAAGAACCCCGGCGAGGGGAGUGAAAAAGAACCUGAAACCGUGUACGUACAAGCAGUGGGAGCACCUUCGGGUGUGACUGCGUACCUUUUGUAUAAUGGGUCAGCGACUUAUAUUCUGUAGCAAGGUUAACCGUAUAGGGGAGCCGCAGGGAAACCGAGUCUUAACUGGGCGUUAAGUUGCAGGGUAUAGACCCGAAACCCGGUGAUCUAGCCAUGGGCAGGUUGAAGGUUGGGUAACACUAACUGGAGGACCGAACCGACUAAUGUUGAAAAAUUAGCGGAUGACUUGUGGCUGGGGGUGAAAGGCCAAUCAAACCGGGAGAUAGCUGGUUCUCCCCGAAAGCUAUUUAGGUAGCGCCUCGUGAACUCAUCUUCGGGGGUAGAGCACUGUUUCGGCUAGGGGGUCAUCCCGACUUACCAACCCGAUGCAAACUACGAAUACCGAAGAAUGUUAUCACGGGAGACACACGGCGGGUGCUAACGUCCGUCGUGAAGAGGGAAACAACCCAGACCGCCAGCUAAGGUCCCAAAGUCAUGGUUAAGUGGGAAACGAUGUGGGAAGGCACAGACAGCCAGGAUGUUGGCUUAGAAGCAGCCAUCAUUUAAAGAAAGCGUAAUAGCUCACUGGUCGAGUCGGCCUGCGCGGAAGAUGUAACGGGGCUAAACCAUGCACCGAAGCUGCGGCAGCGACACUAUGUGUUGUUGGGUAGGGGAGCGUUCUGUAAGCCUGCGAAGGUGUGCUGUGAGGCAUGCUGGAGGUAUCAGAAGUGCGAAUGCUGACAUAAGUAACGAUAAAGCGGGUGAAAAGCCCGCUCGCCGGAAGACCAAGGGUUCCUGUCCAACGUUAAUCGGGGCAGGGUGAGUCGACCCCUAAGGCGAGGCCGAAAGGCGUAGUCGAUGGGAAACAGGUUAAUAUUCCUGUACUUGGUGUUACUGCGAAGGGGGGACGGAGAAGGCUAUGUUAGCCGGGCGACGGUUGUCCCGGUUUAAGCAUGUAGGCUGAUUAUCCAGGCAAAUCCGGAUAAUCAAGGCUGAGGUGUGAUGACGAGGCACUACGGUGCUGAAGUAACAAAUGCCCUGCUUCCAGGAAAAGCCUCUAAGCAUCAGGUAACAUCAAAUCGUACCCCAAACCGACACAGGUGGUCAGGUAGAGAAUACCAAGGCGCUUGAGAGAACUCGGGUGAAGGAACUAGGCAAAAUGGUGCCGUAACUUCGGGAGAAGGCACGCUGGUGUGUAGGUGAAGUCCCUGCGGAUGGAGCUGAGACCAGUCGAAGAUACCAGCUGGCUGCAACUGUUUAUUAAAAACACAGCACUGUGCAAACACGAAAGUGGACGUAUACGGUGUGACGCCUGCCCGGUGCCGGAAGGUUAAUUGAUGGGGUUAUCCGUAAGGAGAAGCUCUUGAUCGAAGCCCCGGUAAACGGCGGCCGUAACUAUAACGGUCCUAAGGUAGCGAAAUUCCUUGUCGGGUAAGUUCCGACCUGCACGAAUGGCGUAAUGAUGGCCAGGCUGUCUCCACCCGAGACUCAGUGAAAUUGAACUCGCUGUGAAGAUGCAGUGUACCCGCGGCAAGACGGAAAGACCCCGUGAACCUUUACUAUAGCUUGACACUGAACAUUGAGCCUUGAUGUGUAGGAUAGGUGGGAGGCUUUGAAGCGUGGACGCCAGUCUGCGUGGAGCCAACCUUGAAAUACCACCCUUUAAUGUUUGAUGUUCUAACGUUGGCCCCUUACCGGGGUUGCGGACAGUGUCUGGUGGGUAGUUUGACUGGGGCGGUCUCCUCCCAAAGCGUAACGGAGGAGCACGAAGGUUAGCUAAUCCUGGUCGGACAUCAGGAGGUUAGUGCAAUGGCAUAAGCUAGCUUGACUGCGAGCGUGACGGCGCGAGCAGGUGCGAAAGCAGGUCAUAGUGAUCCGGUGGUUCUGAAUGGAAGGGCCAUCGCUCAACGGAUAAAAGGUACUCCGGGGAUAACAGGCUGAUACCGCCCAAGAGUUCAUAUCGACGGCGGUGUUUGGCACCUCGAUGUCGGCUCAUCACAUCCUGGGGCUGAAGUAGGUCCCAAGGGUAUGGCUGUUCGCCAUUUAAAGUGGUACGCGAGCUGGGUUUAGAACGUCGUGAGACAGUUCGGUCCCUAUCUGCCGUGGGCGCUGGAGAAUUGAGGGGGGCUGCUCCUAGUACGAGAGGACCGGAGUGGACGCAUCACUGGUGUUCGGGUUGUCAUGCCAAUGGCACUGCCCGGUAGCUAAAUGCGGAAGAGAUAAGUGCUGAAAGCAUCUAAGCACGAAACUUGCCCCGAGAUGAGUUCUCCCUGAGACUUUAAGUCUCCUGAAGGAACGUUAAAGACGAUGACGUUGAUAGGCCGGGUGUGUAAGCGCAGCGAUGCGUUGAGCUAACCGGUACUAAUGAACCGUGAGGCUUAACCUU